rnacentral:rRNA from 1 species
GGGGGUGUCCGAAUGGGGAAACCUGGAAUGUCCGGAGUAGUGUCCGGUGGCCCUGCCCUGAAUGUAUAGGGGUGUGGGUGGUAACGCGGGGAAGUGAAACAUCUUAGUACCCGUAGGAAGAGAAAACAAGUGUGAUUCCGUGAGUAGUGGCGAGCGAAAGCGGAGGAGGCUAAACCGUGUGUGUGUUCAAGCCGGCAGGUGUUGCAUGUGCGGGGUUGUGGGGGCCUUGUGGUUCUGCUGCCGCAGGAUUGGCCAGUGAGAAAUGUUGCGUGAAGGUGAAGCGUCUGGGAAGGCGUACCGGAGUGGGUGAGAGUCCUGUAACUGUAAGCGUGGCACUGGUGUGGGGUUGCCCCGAGUAGCGUGGGACUCGUGGAAUUUCGCGUGAAUCUGGCGGG